CAAGCUCCAGAACUCCACUUCAUUACCAAGACAUUUGCAGGAAAGAUUCCAUGAGCUCCACUUCCUUUUCAUUGAGAAACUGGAUAACAAAGAAGAGACUCGGGUUCUGCUAGAUAGAUCUUGCCACAGACUUUCAGAGGAAAGAUUUUUAAUUGCUCCUAUGGGAUGUCUAUGAAGAACCAGCAACAGAUGAUGUUUCCAGAAUUAUACAUAAAAACAAAGAGUUAUGAGAGGCAACUUUGACUGACAAGUUUCCUGCCAUCCCCAAUAUUUUAAGAGAAUAGUUAAACCCUUUCUGAUGGAUUCGUAGGAAUAAUAAUCCCAUGAAAAGAA